UACGGAGGGUGCGAGCGUUGUUCGGAAUCACUGGGCGUAAAGCGCGUGUAGGCGGCCCACUAAGUCUGAUGUGAAAGCCCGGGGCUCACCCCCGGAAGUGCAUUGGAAACUGGUGGACUCGAGUCCCGGAGAGGAGAGUGGAAUUCCUGGUGUAGCGGUGAAAUGCGUAGAUAUCAGGAGGAACACCGGUGGCGAAGGCGGCUCUCUGGACGGUGACUGACGCUGAGGCGCGAAAGCGUGGGGAGCAAACAGG
rnacentral:rRNA from 1 species